CCUUGACAUACUAAGAACUUUCCAGAGAUGGAUUGGUGCCUUCGGGAACUUAGAUACAGGUGCUGCAUGGCUGUCGUCAGCUCGUGUCGUGAGAUGUUGGGUUAAGUCCCGCAACGAGCGCAACCCUUUUCCUUAUUUGCCAGCGGGUCAUGCCGGGAACUUUAAGGAUACUGCCAGUGACAAACUGGAGGAAGGCGGGGACGACGUCAAGUCAUCAUGGCCCUUACGGCCAGGGCUACACACGUGCUACAAUGGUCGGUACAAAGGGUUGCUACCUCGCGAGAGGAUGCUAAUCUCAAAAAGCCGAUCGUAGUCCGGAUCGCAGUCUGCAACUCGACUGCGUGAAGUCGGAAUCGCUAGUAAUCGCGGAUCAGAAUGCCGCGGUGAAUACGUUCCCGGGCCUUGUACACACCGCCCGUCACACCAUGGGAGUUUGUUGCACCAGAAGUAGGCAGUCUAACCGCAAGGAGGACGCUUACCACGGUGUGGCCGAUGACUGGGGUGAAGUCGUAACAAGGUAGGCGUAGAUGA
rnacentral:rRNA from 1 species